rnacentral:rRNA from 1 species
GGGGAAAAUUUAUGCUAUAGAUGGCCUAUAUCGAUUGCUUGUUGUGGGUAUCGCCUACCAGGCAAUGAUCUAUAGUGAUAUGAGAGGAUAUCAGCCACACUGAAUGAGAUAGGUCCAGACUCUUCUGGAGGCAGCAGUGGGAAUAUGGACAAUGGGCGAAAGCAUGAUCCAGCCAUGUUGCAUGAGUGAAGAAGGCCUCUGGGUUGUAAAGCUCUUUCGGUGAGGAAGAUAAUGACGGUACUCACAGAAGAAGUCCUGGCUAACUCCGUGCCAGCAGCCGCGGUAAUACGGAGAGGGCUAGCGUUAUUCGGAAUUAUUGGGCGUAAAGGGCGCGUAGGCUGAUUAAUAAGUUAAAAGUGAAAUCCCGAGGCUUAACCUCGGAAUUGCUUUUAAAACUAUUAAUUUAGAGAUUGAAAGAGGAUAGAGGAAUUCUUGAUGUAGAGGUAAAAUUUGUAAAUAUUAGGAGGAACACCCGUGGGGAAGGGGUUUAUUUGGUUCAAAUUUGACGCUGAGGGGCGAAAGGGUGGGGGGCAAACCGGGUUUGAUACCC